GAGAGACAGCUCUUCAUGUGGCGGCUCGCUACGGCAACGUGGAUGUGGUGAGCUACCUGUGCAGCAUCCGGGCCAACCCAGACCUGGCGGACAGGGAGCAGGAGACCCCGCUGCAUUGCGCUGCAUGGCACGGAUACUCGCCAGUAGCCAGAGCGCUCUGCCAGGCAGGUUGCCACGUGGAUGCAAAGAACCGUGAAGGGGAGAGUCCGCUGCUGACGGCAUCUGCUCGGGGCUUUGUGGACAUUGUGGAGUGCCUGGUGGAGCACAGGGCCGACCUAGAGGCGACUGACAAGGACGGCCACACAGCCCUCCACUUGGCCGUGCGGAGGUGUCAGAUUGAAGUGGUCCGCUGCCUCCUCAGACACCACUGCCACCUGGACCAGCAGGAUCGCCAUGGUAACACACCGCUGCACAUCGCCUGUAAAGACGGAAACCUGCCAGUCGU